UACGAAGGGGGCUAGUGUUGCUCGGAAUUACUGGGCGUAAAGGGCGCGUAGGCGGCACUGUUAGUCAGGCGUGAAAGUCCUGGGCUCAACCUGGGAACUGCGCUUGAUACGGCAGAGCUAGAGGAUGGAAGAGGCUCGCGGAAUUCCCAGUGUAGAGGUGAAAUUCGUAGAUAUUGGGAAGAACACCGGUGGCGAAGGCGGCGAGCUGGUCCAUUACUGACGCUGAGGCGCGACAGCGUGGGGAGCAAACAGG
rnacentral:rRNA from 1 species